UUGGCUACUCUACCUAUCCCGGUUGCUAAGUCAUUAAUUGGGUAUGGGAAUUUUUUUUAAAGGUUGGCCUGUUUUGAGAGAUGUAACUUGCUGUACAAGUUCAGGAUUUUUUCUCUGUGGUUGAACAACCAGCUGCAGAAUAAAGGAGUUCAGGACUCUACCUCUGUGAUAAACACCAUGGCAAAUCCAGUGGCAAAACUAAAGCUGGACUACUCUUUCAAACAACUUUCACACAAGCUCAUUGUUUAUGGGUCGCGGGGGAACCUGGAGCCUAUCGCAGGGAGCAUCGGGCACAGGCGGGUACACCCUGGACAGGGUGCCAGUCCAUCACAGAGCACACAAUCACACAUUCAUACACUACGGACACUUUAGACACGCCAAUCAGCCAUGCAUGUCUUUGGACCGCAGGAAACCCCCGCAAACGGGAGAACAUGCAAACUCCGCACACACACAGCCGCAGGAAUCAAACCCGACCCUGGCGGUGUGAGGCGAACGUGCCAACCACUAAGCCACCGUUCCCUAAAUGAGGAAAGUCAAAAAAUUUCAAAGAAACAAAGAGAGAAUUAACCAGUAUUUUCAUCUCAAAUGUGUAAAUGGGUCAAAUUGACUCAUAACAUAAUAGGAG
ensembl:lncRNA